GGUAGAGUGACAUGUCUGUCACAACCAUCUCUUUGUUCUCGUUUUAUUUUUACUCUCCUUCUGCAGCUCAAUAAAGAGACAAGUUUGGGCAUAUUUUUGUCUACUGAGUAGGGACAGAAAUUAGAUUACUAUGAGAAAGAUACAUUUGGUUGAAGAACUCUAAUGCCUCUAAGCUAAAAAGAAAACCAUGAGGUUAUUGGAGAUGAAGAUGAGAUAAAGACAACAGGAUACCCCAAACCUUGAUCCCUGGAUGGCUGCAAGGAUUUUGAGACCACUUUGAAGCUGUGUACAGAAGACUUUUCCACAGGCAUACACAACACCCUGCCUUCAUACCCUGAAGGAAUGAAAGCUGUUGACAUUACUUGGAAGAAAAUAAAGAACUUGAAUCUGUUUUUGUGCUAUACAGGUAUUCAACUCGGUAAAAUAAAACUAGUUAAUGAGGAAUUAAUUUAAGAUACUGAAAAGUGCAUUGAUAUAUCAAGUAAAUUUGUACUUGUGCAAUAAAUUAAGCUUAGAGGUUGCCUAAGAGAGAGGUAAAUAUGUCACAUUCAACUUAAAUAUCUGGUGUAUUUUAAAAUUUAGACCUAUAGAAAGACAAAAAUAACUGCCAACUCAUCAAUCACCCAACUCUUAAACAAAAUCAGAUUAUUUCAGCAAUUAUUCAAUGGUUUUAUUACGAUGAUACACAACAGUUAUUUACUUCCACUUCAAUGUCCCUUAAAUAUCUACUUGUUUGCACUAUAACAUGAGCAGCAAGAAGUCACUAGGUUUAUAAACUAGAGUGUCACUGCACUUUUCUGGAAAAAUAAUCAGCAUUUUGGGUCCCUGGGUUUUAAAAUCUGGUUAAGUAAACCACAUCAUCGUGGAUUUUGUAAAAUGAAAAGCAAUAAGCCAGAACAAAUUGUAAUUAAAUACAAUAUGCUAUAUCUCUGAAGAUAGUUGUACGUUUUAUUUUUCUCUGGAUUAGAUCUGGGACUCUAAGAUGUUAACUUGGUAAAUAUUUUUCUACUAUGUGGUUUGAGCAUUAUAGUAAAGUUUACCUAACGCCACACAUCUCGCCUACAGAUUUCUCUGCUUAGAAUAAUUACUGAAUCACUAAUGUGACAGCCAAAGCAUCUGGAAAGCUGUAGAUGCAACAUGGAAUCAAAGCUUUAGGGACUGGAAGAAAAUCAAGGGUUCAUAAAUUCUGUUUUCUCGCCAACAUAAUUGUCCUUGACACAUGUCCUUAUAAUUUUACUUGUGCUUGAAAACCUAUAACAUAAAACUAUCUCAAAAUAUUGGGAGCUCUAUCUGUGGCCUCUGCUAGUUAGAUAAUCAUUAUCUUUUAAAUGUUGAUGGUAAAUAUGUAUUUUUUGUUGUUUAUAUCUUCCUUUCUCCCAUUCUCUUUUCCUUCCUUUCUUCUUUUCCUCCCUUCCUCCCUUCAUUUCUUCUCUCCUAUUAAAUAAGUUAUUAUAUGAAUUAUACCAUAAGUAUAGCAGUGUAUUACAUUCAAAAUACCAAGAUACAAAUUUGGAUUAGUCUGGUGAAGAUUUAAGGCAUAUGUAUAAUUUUACAUGUACUAAUGACUAUAUUCAAAGCUGCUGAUGGUUGGUUUAUAAAGUAAUUUGGCCAAGGCAGAAAAAUACAUAAGCAGUGUGCCAAAUAAGCAAAAGCAGUUGUUUCUAAAGCCAAAGACAUAUAUGAUGAAAAGAAGGCCGAAAAACCAACCAACCAACAAAACUAAAACACAGAAACAGUGGAAACUGCCUAAGAUUAACCACCCAGGAUUCAAAGUGUGUGUGUGUCUGUGCACACGCGCACGCAUAAACAUGCAGGUAUAUGCCUUCACAAAAGUGUCAGUUUGGGAAAAGAGAUUUGGUAUUGAAAGGAAGGCCACCACUCUAGGUCAUUAAAGGUCAUGAAGAAAUUAUCUGACAUGCUUAGACCUCUUUUCUCCUAUGCAAAUAUCCUGGAACUAUAAUUGAAUCACUGAGCACAAGUACUCUAAUGUGCCUAGAAUAUUAACUGUGGCAUAUAAUAAUGGUGAGGAAACUAAUUGGAGUUUCUUCAAAGAUAGGAAAGAAACUGCAGCUGAAUGUUGGGAAAUAUCGUGGUGCAUGUUUUCACUACAAUCUCUCCUGUAGAGACAUUAUUUUGGAAUUGUAUCCAUGACAUAGUAUCAAGUAGAAACAUAUGUCGUAUUACAGAAAAGUAAUCAUGUAAUCAUCUGUAUGUAAGCACAUUUUUGUGAGCAUAGAGAAAAAUAAGAACUAUAAAUAUAGAUUGGUUAGUACUGGUUAUCUCAGGGAGAUGAAGCCAGAGUAGAAUGGUGG
rnacentral:lncRNA from 1 species